GGGGGCGUAGUUUAAAUAGGUAAAACGUCUAUCUUGCACAUAGUUAACGCAGGUUCGAACCCUACCGCCUCCA
rnacentral:tRNA from 1 species